GUCCCGGUCAUGUCGUGAAACCGUCAUGUCAUUGAACCGGUUCGGUCAUGGUCAGUGGAACCGGUUCAAGUUGAACAGGUCAUGUCAGUUGAACAGGUCAUGUCAGUUGAACCGUUCCGGUCAUGUCAGUUGAACCGUUGUCCGUCAUGUCGGUGGAACCGUUUCCGGUCAUGCAGUGGAACCGGUUCCGGUCAUGUCAGUGGAACCGGUUCGGGUCAUGUCAGUGGAACCGGUUCCGGUCAUGUCAGUGGAACGGUUCAGGUCAUGUCGUCAUGUAGUGGAACGGUCAUGUCGCAGUUGAACGGUCAUGUCAGUGGAACCGGUCAUGUCAGUGGAACCGGUUCCCGGUCCAUGUCAGUGGAACCGGUAUGUCAGUUGAACGGUUUGCGUCAUGUCAGUGGAACCGGUUCAAGUUGGUCAGGUCAUGUCCAAGUUGAACAGGUCAUGUCAGUUGAACAGGUCAUGGUCAGUUAUGAACCGGUUCUGGUCAUGUCAGUGAACCGGUUCAAGUUGAACAGGUCAUGUCAGUUGAACAGGUAAUGUCAUUUGAACAGUCAUGUCAGUUAACAGGUUCUGGUCAUGUCAGUUGAACCGGUUGUCCACUGUAAUUUUAAAUGUUCUUUCUUCCACACUUGCAGCCCAGUCAUCUCCUAGCAUUAGUGGAAAAGAUGACAGCCCUUUAGACACCGAUUGUGUGUGGUGUGUGGUGGUAUAUACUGUGUGGUGUGUGUGGUUGUGUGGGUGGGUGGGUGUGUGUGUGUGUGUGUGUGUGUUAACGGGUGUACUGUUGUGUUACUUACCUGUGUGUGUGUGUGCCCGGGUGUGUGUCCGUGGGGUGUGUGUGUUAUACUUACCUGUGUGUGUGUGGUGUGUAUGACUUCCCCAGGCAGCAGCAGUAGACCUAUUAGUCCCCGGAGUAGGAGAAUGUGUGGAGGUUCUCGGAGAGGAGAGACUGGACCUACUGAAGACACGUCUAGCAAGUAGGAACACACAACGUUAUGAAAUAACUAUUGCAACUUCAGAUAAAAGAAAACAUCUUCUAAGAAUACAGAAAACCGCAUUUCAUGUCCAAUACAUAUAAACGUGUAGAAAUACAUACAUAUAUUACAAUACACAGACAGAAUGUGAAAAGUGGAAUAUUGAGUAUAUAUAUUUACACCACACAGUCAUUAAUGGUACACAUGAAAUCAACACAAUUGGGUAAUUGCUUGUAAUUGCCUCGUCUGUUAAAACACACGUUAUGCGUCUUCUUUAGGGCUGGUUUGGAUGAGACAUACGGAUGGUAAGCGCAUUAUAAUAAAGUACUUUAUUUUCUCCCGUUACUCUACACUGUUCAUUCUACUC
rnacentral:lncRNA from 1 species